UACGGGGGGGGCAAGCGUUGUUCGGAAUUACUGGGCGUAAAGGGCUCGUAGGUGGCCAACUAAGUCAGACGUGAAAUCCCUCAGCUUAACUGGGGAACUGCGUCUGAUACUGGAUGGCUUGAGUUUGGGAGAGGGAUGUGGAAUUCCAGGUGUAGCGGUGAAAUGCGUAGAUAUCUGGAGGAACACCGGUGGCGAAGGCGGCUUCCUGGACCGACACUGACGCUGAGGCGCGAAAGCUAGGGGAGCAAACGAG
rnacentral:rRNA from 1 species